AUGCUCGCUCACCCAUAUACGUAUACGACGAUGGAACAACUAGUUAGAUCCAAGAAGCAAAAUGACCUUGCCGACGAGAAAAUGUUACAUUCACCUAGCGGCACAGUCGAUUGUUUGACCUUGCCGACGUUCUCUGCCACCAUAUUUGUGUCCCUCGUAAAAGGUGCAGCAAAAAUAUCAAGCAGCGUGUCUCAACACCAUACCCGGAGACGUGCACAUCAGUUCUUUUUGUGGCAUCAGAGGACAAAGACGCACACGCACACGCACAUGCGGUCCUCACACCUAUCCGCAUUAGCACCGAUAGGUCAUUGGUCGCGAGCAAAGUGA
rnacentral:rRNA from 1 species